rnacentral:rRNA from 1 species
CCUACGGGGGGCAGCAGUAGGGAAUCUUGCUCAAUGGGGGAAACCCUGACGCAGCAACGCCGCGUGGAGGAUGAAGGUUUUCGGAUUGUAAACUCCUUUUGUUAGAGAAGAUAAUGACGGUAUCUAACGAAUAAGCACCGGCUAACUCCGUGCCAGCAGCCGCGGUAAUACGGAGGGUGCAAGCGUUACUCGGAAUCACUGGGCGUAAAGCGCGCGGAGGCGGGAUAGCAAGUCAGAUGUGAAAUCCUAUGGCUUAACCAUAGAACUGCAUUUGAAACUGUUAUUCUAGAGUAUGGGAGAGGUGAGUGGAAUUCUUGGUGUAGGGGUAAAAUCCGUAGAGAUCAAGAGGAAUACUCAUUGCGAAGGCGACCUGCUAGAACAUAACUGACGCUGAUGCGCGAAAGCGUGGGGAGCAAACAGGAUUAGAUACCCUUGUAGUC